GACACGUCACAAAGCUUGUCCCAGUCACCCAGCACAGAGGUGACAGAAUGAGAACUAGAAUUCCAGUUUCGGCAUACCAGACUUUCUACCAAAGUCAUUGAGCAAAAGAGCCAGUUACAACCCUACAGGAGUUGCUCCAGCCAACUCAGCCCCCAAGAGAGAAAGGAGCACCGAGCAGAAGUGGACAGAAUUUCUAGGCCUGGACAUGAUACCCCAGUUCUUCACCUCCCUUCCCCGCCAUUUCCCCAUGUGCACUAUACUCUGUUCCCCUGGGACUUGGCCAACGGUGUUUGCGCCUCUCGCUGAGAAGGAAAGCAAAGGAACAAUAUCCAUGGUCUCCCAUGUCUAGUCAAUGGAACUGGAAGUUAAGAACUGUUGAUUUGCAUGGAGCCAGCUGGCAACAGAGAACCAUCAAGAGCGUCCAGUUCCAGGACAAUAGACAGCACACUCAAGGAUGGAUUUGGAGCCCAGCAGCUAUACAUUGGUAACUGGCACAGUGACAAACUGUUAAUGGUUG